AAUAUACUCCCUCCGUCCCAAAAUUAUUGUCUUAGAUUCAUGUAGAUACGGAUGUAUCUAAUACUAAAUGUAACUAGAUACAUCUGUAUUUAGACAAAUCUAAGACAAGAAUUUUGGGACAGAGGGAGUACAAG
rfam:Triticum aestivum genome assembly, contig: Triticum_aestivum_CS42_TGACv1_scaffold_210464_3AS